UGCCCCUAUCUUUAAUGCAGCUCUGUGGAGCUGAGUUUGGAGCUCAGCUUUCGUCUCGCUGCCUUUCAGCCACCCAAAGGUUUUAACCUCCUCAACCUCAUACAAUUUCUAGGAACCAACAAAACCCCUUACCGGACUCCAAAGGAGCUGCUGCUCUGCUCAUCCACUGGCAUUGCUGCUGCAUCAGGAGCAUGGGCAAAGGAAAAACAAAGUGAAAAGAGGUGAAGUGAUGCACAGCAUGUUGUGCUCUUUUCUUUGCAGAGAGCCUGAAGUUUCCGAGCGCACUUGUCGCUUGAAAGGAAAGUUGGCAGCUCUCCGGGCUAUUGUCAAACCCCCUUAUGAAACUCAAGGAUUUCGGCUGCGUUUCCUACUCACCGACCUUAUCGAGGCUGAGCAGAACCGAUGACACACCGUGGAGUUGGCAGCAGAGCUGGUAUUGAUGCCAUCUGCAGAGAGCCGCCUCCUCACUGUCUUAAAAUGAAAUCUACUGAACUGGUUGGUUGGUGCUUCUCGGGGUGCAGGGUGCUCAUGGUGGGCACCACGGUGCCCAGGCAGGAG